GUUGGUGUCAAUGAUAACGAGGGUCCACCUGUUCCCAUCCCGAACACAGAAGUUAAGCUCGUUGAUGUCGACAAUACUUGGCUGGAGACGGCCCGGGACGAUAGAAAGACGCCAACA
rnacentral:rRNA from 1 species